rnacentral:pre_miRNA from 10 species
AUCAGCAGGCGGCUCAUUGAAGCUGCACAUUCUGAUUCAGCGGGCCUGAGAGUCUGCAUUUGUAGCAAGUUCUCAAAAGACGGUGAU